rnacentral:rRNA from 1 species
CCUACGGGGGGCAGCAGUCGAGAAUCAUUCACAAUGGGCGAAACCCUGAUGGUGCGACGCCGCGUGGGGGAAUGAAGGCCUUCGGAUUGUAAACCCCUGUCAUGUGGGAGCAAAUGAAAAAGAUAGUACCACAAGAGGAAGAGACGGCUAAAACUGUGUCAGCAGCCGCGGUAAUACAGAGGUCUCAAGUGCUGUUCGGAAUCACUGGGGGUAAAGUGUGUGUAGGCUGUUUCGUAAGUCGUGUGUGAAAGGUGCGGGGUCAACCGGCGGAGUGCACAUGAUACUGCGGGACUAGAGUGAGGGAGGGGGAAGCGGAAUUCGCGGUGUAGCGGUGAAAUGCGUAGAUAUCGAGAAGAACACUGAUGGCGAAGGCGGGUUCCUGGACAUUAACUGACGCUGAGGCACGAAGGCCAGGGGAGCGAAAGGGAUUAGAUACCCUAGUAGUC